GUAGGUGAACCUGCAGAAGGAUCACUG
rnacentral:rRNA from 1 species